rnacentral:tRNA from 1 species
UCCCUGGUGGUCUAGUGACUAAGACUCUGGGCUCGCAAUUCAGGUGGCCCAGAUUCGAUCCCUGAUCAGGGAA